GAGUUUGAUCCUGGCUCAGGAUGAACGCUGGCGGCGUGCCUAAUACAUGCAAGUCGAGCGAACGGACGAGAAGCUUGCUUCUCUGAUGUUAGCGGCGGACGGGUGAGUAACACGUGGAUAACCUACCUAUAAGACUGGGAUAACUUCGGGAAACCGGAGCUAAUACCGGAUAAUAUUUUGAACCGCAUGGUUCAAAAGUGAAAGACGGUCUUGCUGUCACUUAUAGAUGGAUCCGCGCUGCAUUAGCUAGUUGGUAAGGUAACGGCUUACCAAGGCAACGAUGCAUAGCCGACCUGAGAGGGUAAUCGGCCACACUGGAACUGAGACACGGUCCAGACUCCUACGGGAGGCAGCAGUAGGGAAUCUUCCGCAAUGGGCGAAAGCCUGACGGAGCAACGCCGCGUGAGUGAUGAAGGUCUUCGGAUCGUAAAACUCUGUUAUUAGGGAAGAACAUAUGUGUAAGUAACUGUGCACAUCUUGACGGUACCUAAUCAGAAAGCCACGGCUAACUACGUG
rnacentral:rRNA from 1 species